UCCCUGGUGGUCCAGUGGCUAAGACUCUGAGCUCCCAAUACUGGGGGCCCAGGUUCGAACCCUGGUCAGGGAA
rnacentral:tRNA from 2 species